rnacentral:rRNA from 1 species
UGGGGAAUAUUGCACAAUGGGCGCAAGCCUGAUGCAGCGAUGCCGCGUGAGGGAAGAAGGUUUUCGGAUUGUAAACCUCUGUCAUCAGGGACGAAAAAAGACGGUACCUGAGAAGGAAGCUCCGGCUAACUACGUGCCAGCAGCCGCGGUAAUACGUAGGGAGCAAGCGUUGUCCGGAAUUACUGGGUGUAAAGGGAGCGCAGGCGGACCGGCAAGUUGGAAGUGAAAACUAUGGGCUCAACCCAUAAAUUGCUUUCAAAACUGCUGGCCUUGAGUAGUGCAGAGGUAGGUGGAAUUCCCGGUGUAGCGGUGGAAUGCGUAGAUAUCGGGAGGAACACCAGUGGCGAAGGCGACCUACUGGGCACCAACUGACGCUGAGGCUCGAAAGCA